AUCGCUAAACGUUUGAUUCUUUUUAAUGUUGUCAUCAGUUAACUUCAUUCAACUACGCUUGUGACUGAAGUGUGCCGUUCAGUUGUGAACGUUCGCAAAUUUAGUUUAUGGGCAGAGA